rnacentral:misc_RNA from 1 species
GAAAUGCGAUAAUUAAUGUGAAUUGCAGAAUUCAGUGAAUCAUCGAGUCUUUGAACGCACAUUGCGCCCCCUGGUAUUCCGGGGGGCAUGCCUGUCCGAGCGUCAUUGCUGCCCUCAAGCACGGCUUGUGUGUUGGGCUUCCGUCCCUGGCAACGGGGACGGGCCCAAAAGGCAGUGGGGGCACCAUGUCUGGUCCUCGAGCGUAUGGGGCUUUGUCACCCGCUCCCGUAGGUCCAGCUGGCAGCUAGCCUCGCAACCAAUCUUUUUAACCAGGUUGACCUCGGAUCAGGUAGGGAUACCCGCUGAACUUAAGC